CCUACGGGCGGCAGCAGUGAGGAAUAUUGGUCAAUGGACGAGAGUCUGAACCAGCCAAGUAGCGUGAAGGAUGACUGCCCUAUGGGUUGUAAACUUCUUUUAUAUGGGAAUAAAAUGUUCCACGUGUGGGAUUUUGUAUGUACCAUAUGAAUAAGGAUCGCCUAACUCCGUUCCAGCAGCCGCGGUAAUACGGAGGAUCCGAGCGUUAUCCGGAUUUAUUGGGUUUAAAGGGAGCGUAGGUGGAUUGUUAAGUCAGUUGUGAAAGUUUGCGGCUUAACCGUAAAAUUGCAGUUGAAACUGGCAGUCUUGAGUACAGUAGAGGUGAGCGGAAUUCGUGGUGUAGCGGUGAAAUGCUUAGAUAUCACGAAGAACUCCGAUUGCGAAGGCAGUUCACUGGACUGCAACUGACACUGAGGCUCGAAAGUGUGGGUAUCAAACAGGAUUAGAUACCCGGGUAGUC
rnacentral:rRNA from 1 species